rnacentral:lncRNA from 1 species
UCAUAAUGACAAACUUUAAAUACUGAUGGAGUUUCUUGGGGUUAUUCUGGCAUGGUGUCAAUUGUAGUUAGGCUACAACCUUAUACUUUUUGUAUAAUUAAAAUUGACUUUUUCAAAUAACCCAGGCAACACUGGUUCAACUCUAAAAAAAUGUGCUGGUUCAACUCUUAAAAAAAAGAUGUAAUCCUAACCCAAAAUCUGUUUUCUUCAACUUUUAUCUACAACGUCAUGUUGUGAUUUUGGGUGCAGAUAUAACAACAAGUCAUGACUAAACAAUAAGCAAUAACUUCAUAAGCAACAACAGCCCAUGGCUUUUAGCUGUGGCAUGCAUCAAACCAUGGUUUCUUUGCAGGGACAGGCUCAAACAAAAGGGAAAAACAGGAUUCAAUAAACCACAACUUGGCAUAUUGCUAUUAUAUACACACUUGACCUUUGUCUUAAGUCAUAUCCGUAUUGUCUUCUUAAAACUUGGGAAUGUGUCUGGAUACCCUAAAAAUGCUAAGAAUGCCUUUUCCAAAUUAUAUCUCCACCCACAACCCUUAAUCAGAACACUGAUCUUAAUUUUUAGCUCCACUCUGAUUUUUUUCAUUGUUUCUUUUCUUUGCAGGUCAGACGGGGAAAAUUCAAGAACUGUCAGAUGGGGAACUGAGUCUGGCAGAGAGUGACUUGCCCAAGGCCAUUCACACACAGCCAUAGCAGCUGGACUCGCAACAUUCAGCAUCCACUGGGCCACACUUUUAAGCCUCUUGCUUUGUGUUCUGUCCUUAGUGGAUCUCGUGAGACCAGCCCCUCCAGUUCUGCAUGAUCUUCUUCCAAAUACUCAAAAAACCUCUCAACAGAGUCCCCUUUAAUCUUUCCACUCAGCAAAACAUGCCAGUUUCUUCCCGGCUUGCUUCCUGUGAGUUGUCUUCUAGACAUUGGUCAUCCUUGCAGCUCUUCUCUGAAUCCUUUCCGAUCGAUCAACAUUUUUUCUGAACUGUGAUGCUCAGAACUGAACACUCUUCUGAUUCCUGACCCUUGCAUCCAGCCCCCCACCCACCCUGUUUUCAUCAACCUUGUUCUGUAGAUUUGUGCAUUUCUCUGUACAUGUGUCUGAAGCUUAUCACUGUGAAACAUGAGAGCCAGAAACAUGCUUCCGUUUGGAAAAUCAAAAGUGUAUAGUGUGAUGAGAAAGACAUACUGUAAUUGCAAGAUAUUGCUUAAGUUGUUAUUGGCAUAAUUGAAAUAACACGCUUUCUUUGUAAGAACAUUUAAUUAGAAUG